AAAAAAGAAAAAAAAAAGUGUUUGUUUUAAGGGCUGGGAAUAUAGCUGUGUGGUGGAGUGCUAGCCCUAGGUUUCAUCCCUAGUUCCACAAAAGCAAAAAACCCCAUCCUUGGAAAUGACACCAGUGCUCACACGCACUCAUUUCUAGGGAUGACAGCAUGCCUCUCCCACCCAGCAGCACCACAGCCACCCAUCGUUAGCUAGCAAACUCAGAAGUGUCCGUGUGGCUGGUUUGGGAGGUGGCUGCCAACAUCGAGGUAGCCUUGUUGAAGGUGCUUUGGUCUGCAGAGGCCUUGGGUCCUCAUUCCAGUUGCCAGAGCAGAUCCUGAACCAGGCUCUCGGAUGCUGCAUGAAGAAGGGAAAGGUGGGAGUUUGGGGACAAACCUCUGGUGGGAGGAUUCGGCCUUGUUGAAGAAGGCUGCAGAGUAUGUCGGUCUCCCAAACCCACUGUGACCCGCCUUUUCUCUUCUGGCUCCAGGCAACUGGCCCUGAAGGCUCUCAAUGAGCGGCUGAAGAGAGUGGAGGAUCAGUCAGCCUGGCCCAGCAUGGAUGAUGACGAAGAGGAGGCUGGGGCAAAAACGGACAGUCCUCUGCCCUCAGAACAAGCCUCCACACCCCCGGGGAAGGGGACUGCCCCAGAAUCCACUCUCAUCACCUUCGAGGCAGCUCCCCUCCUCUAAAUCACUCUGAGUGCAGUUCUUCUACUCCCAUGCCGUCCCUGAUCCGUCUCAGCUACUGCAGAGCACUUACUGCUCUGAGGAGAGGGGAGAGGGUCUGCUGGGGGUUCCUGUGGCCUUCUGCUGUGUCUCGACAACACUACACAGGACCCUUGUUGCUACCUGGUUCUGACUCCAGACAACCACAAUGCCAGGUAUGGGGCCUCUGAGCGUCAGCCGUCCAGACCCCAUUUGCAGUAAGAUUGUACCUCAGCAGGUACAAUUCCUCACCAAGGAAGUGGCUGCAGGGACACUGGUGCCACAGCUCCUGGGCCAGCCCUUAUGUCUGAAACUGGUUGCCAACAGCGCUGAGCCAAGGCAAGGAUUUGUAUUUGCCAAAAACAUUCUGGGGACCCAGCCAGUGUGGGUCUGCACAUCCCUACCCACCCCCAGACUGCAUUCAUAUCAGGGUUUCUUGUGCCCUUCUGCUGUGGCAGUGACGACCGUGCCUAGCCGGGGCUGCCACAGUUCCCAGGUAUUUUCUACAGGACCACCCAAGCGGGCAGCAAGCCCAGCUUCACAGUAUCAAUAAAGCGGUUCUUUGAGGUGUGGCUCCUGGACUCUGUCAGGCCACCUUGUGCAGCUCUCUCAACUUU
rnacentral:lncRNA from 1 species